UUAAGAGGGAAGUCCACGAGCAGAGCAUUCUGUCCCUCCUGGAGAGGGUCAUGUUGGGAGAUCUCUAUGCACAACUGCAAGACUGUCAGGAUGCUUCUGUCACCCUUGGAGGGCAUUUUAAUCCCACAAUUGGAAAGGUCUAGUUUGGUGUAUAAUCACAGGCUUAGAGAGAGAGAAGACCAGGUCACUGCGUGUUUCCUGUGUAUAGUGAUAUUUCAAGAAUGGAGCAGCUCACAUUUGCAGUCUUCCAGCUUCAGCUAGCUCUGGAUGGAUGGACAGAUGGACGGACGGACGGACGGACGGACAGACAGGCAGACAGAUAGUAUCUUCAAAUGUAUCAAGAACCCUAAAUAUCCUCACAAAUCAUUUAGACAAUACAAUUGCAAUCAUAAUGUGGGUGCCACUUAACAGCCUACAUAGGAACUUCACUUGGUAAAGGUGUUUCUUGGUUACUCCUUCAGAUUUGCAUCCAACCUUUAGCACCAACCUACAGAAAAAGUGUGGCUGUUGAUGUGGUUCCCCUAUUUCAAUUUGCAACUGCUGGGCACCAAUGUCAUUAGGCACGUGUCCAUUUUCUAGUGGAUGUAUAGGCAGUGUCUGCCUCCACUUUAUUUGUCAAGUAAACUUACAUUUUAAUUUAUUAUUUUUCCUCUAAUCUGUUCAAAAGUGAAUGACUUGGCUUGCUACAUAUGAAAAGAUUCUCCAACCACACUUAUGUCUUAAAAUAGAUUAUACGUUAUUAGUAGCUGAUGCAGUAAACCCACAAGAGGGAAGUUAGGCAGCUCUGCCUUAUCUUUACACAGAAAUGUCUUUCUGCCUAUGACGACAUGCACUUUUUUUUUUGCUAAUGAAGAAGAGGAAGCGCAGUGUGUGUCCAUGUCAUUGAUAAUAUAUCUUCAGGGAAUUUCCAUGUGGAAAGUACAGUGGAGUGUAGUCAAAUUUCACUUAGGAAAUAUUUCUUCUGAUGGCAUUGUCCCCUUAAAGAACUUUUUCUCUAAUAGCCCCAGACAAAAAGCAUAGGUGUGGGGGAGUGUCAGAAAGACUAGUCAGUUACAAUAAAGAGACAAGAAAUGAAUGUAGCAUAGAGCAGCCCCAAGGGCUAUAGCAAGCAGGAGGGCCCCUUUGUAACAAAAAAUGACUAUACAAAGUUUCCUACAGUACUGUAUCUGGAAGUGCAGCUUAAAUAAACUUUCAGUUUUCUUUCUCUCA